GGGGAUACCUUAGUACGGCGAGUGAAGCGGUAAAAGCUCAAAUUUGAAAUCUGGUACUUUCAGUGCCCGAGUUGUAAUUUGUAGAAUUUGUCUUUGAUUAGGUCCUUGUCUAUGUUCCUUGGAACAGGACGUCAUAGAGGGUGAGAAUCCCGUUUGGCGAGGAUACCUUUUCUCUGUAAGACUUUUUCGAAGAGUCGAGUUGUUUGGGAAUGCAGCUCAAAGUGGGUGGUAAAUUCCAUCUAAAGCUAAAUAUUGGCGAGAGACCGAUAGCGAACAAGUACAGUGAUGGAAAGAUGAAAAGAACUUUGAAAAGAGAGUGAAAAAGUACGUGAAAUUGUUGAAAGGGAAGGGCAUUUGAUCAGACAUGGUGUUUUUUGCAUGCACUCGCCUCUCGUGGGCUUGGGCCUCUCAAAAAUUUCACUGGGCCAACAUCAAUUCUGGCAGCAGGAUAAAUCAUUAAGAAUGUAGCUACUUCGGUAGUGUUAUAGCUUUUUGGAAUACUGUUAGCCGGGAUUGAGGACUGCGCUUCGGCAAGGAUGUUGGCAUAAUGGUUAAAUGCCGC
rnacentral:rRNA from 1 species